rfam:Gammaproteobacteria bacterium RIFCSPLOWO2_02_FTLL_61_13 rifcsplowo2_02_scaffold_453, whole genome shotgun sequence.
UCCCGUUGAUGAGAAUUGGCGGGGAGUCAGCAGAGGCCAUAGUAGCGAGGAGGCUGGGUGAAAGCCCGGUGGAGCGAAGGGC